CUCUUUUUUCCCCAGAGUAGGCUGAUGUAGGUAGCGUUGGACAAUGACACAUUGUGUCACAUGCAGAUGGGAAUACCACCUCCCGGUGAGCACACAGAACGGGCUGACGUGAGAAAAAAGCCACGAGAUUCUAGUGGAACAAAAGUGAAAAUAAAGAGACAAGGUGGAAUUCAGAGAACUCAUCUGGCUUCUGGUGGCAUUGGUGAGAACUGAUCAAUAUAAGGUUUCCUUACUUUAGGAUGGCAUCCGGUUUGUGGGAAUCCCAAGGGAAGACUCAGUUCAUGAGAGUAUUCUUAGAAGUUGGGAAGACACCACUAGAGAAUAGAUGCGGCAAGAGAAAGGAGACUGUUGCUGAUAAAAGAAAAAAAAGAAGAAUUGCAUAAAAUACAUUCAAAAGGAAAAUGUUUUGAAAUGUAUGUUAGAUAUGGAUAUUGAUUUGUUCUGGGAGUGUCUCUGCAGUUCUUACACAGGACACAGAAGGGCGGUCUAUGAGGUGAUCGUAACCACACAGCUAGCUUUGGCUGCCUUCCUGUCAACCUGCCCACCUGACACUGCAUGUAACGUUCCUUUCUGAUGAACUAUUUUGAUAGUCUAGAGAAGAUUUAAAAUUAUGUCAUUGUCAACUGCUCACAACUACAGCAUGGGAAAGGUGGAUUUAUUGUCAUUUAUCGGCCAAGCUGUCUGGUGAAACCAGAUGGGAGAGCUCGUCCGGGAAGCAGCCAUUCAAAGUCAAGUGUGCUCACAGAGUCUUCCAGAGUAAGUGGUCGCUGCAAGACCCUAUCCUGAUUCAGUCCAGAAUUCCUCAACUCAGACAAUAAGAAGUGGGUUGAAGGGCAAUUUGAAUAUAGCUUUCUACAUAAUCAAAAAAGCAUAUAAUUGCAGAUUGAACUUGAGCUAUAGUUUAACGUAU